GACGAACGCUGGCGGCGUGCCUAAUACAUGCAAGUCGAGCGGACGGAUGGGAGCUUGCUCCCAGACCGUCAGCGGCGGACGGGUGAGUAACACGUGGGCAACCUGCCUGUAAGACUGGGAUAACUCCGGGAAACCGGGGCUAAUACCGGAUAACUCUUUCCCUCACAUGAGGGAAAGCUGAAAGAUGGCAUCUCGCUAUCACUUACAGAUGGGCCCGCGGCGCAUUAGCUAGUUGGUGAGGUAACGGCUCACCAAGGCGACGAUGCGUAGCCGACCUGAGAGGGUGAUCGGCCACACUGGGACUGAGACACGGCCCAGACUCCUACGGGAGGCAGCAGUAGGGAAUCUUCCGCAAUGGACGAAAGUCUGACGGAGCAACGCCGCGUGAGUGACGAAGGUUUUCGGAUCGUAAAACUCUGUUGUCAGGGAAGAACAAGUACCGGAGUAACUGCCGGUACCUUGACGGUACCUGACCAGAAAGCCACGGCUAACUACGUG
rnacentral:rRNA from 1 species